rnacentral:rRNA from 1 species
UACAGAGGUCUCAAGCGUUGUUCGGAUUCAUUGGGCGUAAAGGGUGCGUAGGCGGCCCGGUAAGUCGGGUGUGAAAUCUCGGAGCUUAACUCCGAAACUGCAUUCGAUACUGCCGUGCUUGAGGACUGGAGAGGAGACUGGAAUUUACGGUGUAGCGGUGAAAUGCGUAGAUAUCGUAAGGAAGACCAGUGGCGAAGGCGGGUCUCUGGACAGUUACUGACGCUGAGGCACGAAGGUGAGGGGAGCAAACGGG